AAUCUGUGGUAUGGGAAUUUCUAAAUCAACGUCUUAAAAUGCUCCCAUACUUCAUGAAUACUUUCCCCUCUAAUUGUUUAAACAUAGAACUUUCUAUUGUUAGAAU
rnacentral:snoRNA from 1 species